GCCUAAAACCAAGCCUGAUCUAACCUGUAUAUAUCCUACACCCUUUACAGUAAGUUGAAUAAAACAUUUAAACUGUUUAGUAGAGGCGAUCAAAAAAUAAAUUAGAGCUUCAUAAAAAGUACCGCAAGGGAAUGGUGAAAUAAAUAUGAAAUAGCUUUAAAGCACACUAUAGCAGAGUAAUUCCCUCGUACCUUUUGCAUCAUGGUUUAGCAAGUCUUUAUCAAGCAAAGCGAGACACAAGUUUGAUUCCCCGAAACUGGGCGAGCUACUUCGAAACAGCUUUUAGAGCCAACCCGUCUCUGUCGCAAAAGAGUGGGAUGAUUUCCAAGUAGAAGUGAUAAGCCUAUCGAGCCCAGAGAUAGCUGGUUAUUCAGAAAAAGAAUAUUAGUUCUACCUUAAGCUUAACAAUUACCAUAAAAAUAAACAUAAACUUAAGAGUUAUUCAAAUAAGGCACAGCUUGUUUGAAAAAGGACACAACCUAAAAUAAUGGGUAAGUAAUACUACGCACCUCUAAGUGGGCCUGAAAGCAGCCACCUUUUAAAAAGCGUUAAAGCUUAGUUACUAAUUAAUCUUUUAAUUCCAUCAUUUUUUACGAACCCUCAAUCAAAACUGAAUAAUCCUAUAACCCUAUAGGAGAUAUAAUGCUAAAACUAGUAACAAGAAGUAGACCUUCUCCAAAAUGCAAGCAAAAACCAAUACGGACUAACCAUUGGCUAUUAACGCCUAUGAAUUUAAUAUAGCAACUAACCUAGCAAACUCUAUAUACUUUGACGUUAACCUUACACAAGAGCAUUCCUGGAAAGAUUAAAAGAAAAAGAAGGAACUCGGCAAAUUCAGGCCUCGCCUGUUUACCAAAAACAUCGCCUCUUGCUUUAACAUAAGAGGUCCAGCCUGCCCAGUGACACAAUUAAACGGCCGCGGUACCCUGACCGUGCGAAGGUAGCAUAAUAACUUGUUCUUUAAAUGGGGACUAGCAUGAACGGCACCACGAAGGCCUCACUGUCUCCUUUUUCUAAUCAGUGAAACUGAUCUCCCCGUGAAGAAGCGGGGAUAAUAAUAUAAGACGAGAAGACCCCAUGGAGCUUUAAACCCAGCAAGCAAUCCUAAUUUACACAACCCAUCUAAAUUAUUCCUCCCCUGCUUCCUGGUUUUAGGUUGGGGUGACCGCGGAGUAAAACACAUCCUCCAUGACGUACGAGAUUAACCCUUAUCCAAGAACUACCCCUCUAAGAAUCGAUAAAUCGACGUUUCAUGAUCCAAUAUAUUGAUCAACGAACCAAGUUACCCUGGGGAUAACAGCGCAAUCCAUUUUAAGAGCCCCUAUCGACGAAUGGGUUUACGACCUCGAUGUUGGAUCAGGGUACCCAAGUGGUGCAGCCGCU
rnacentral:rRNA from 1 species